rnacentral:rRNA from 1 species
AUUGAACGCUGGCGGCAGGCCUAACACAUGCAAGUCGAGCGAGCGGCUGACGGGUGAGUAAUGUCUGGGAAACUGCCUGAUGGAGGGGGAUAACUACUGGAAACGGUAGCUAAUACCGCAUACCAUCAGAUGUGCCCAGAUGGGAUUAGCUAGUAGUUGGGGUAACGGCUCACCUAGGCGACUAUCCCUAGCUUGUCUGAGAGGAUGACCAGCCACACUGGAACUGAGAAACGGUCCAGACUCCUACGGGAGGCAGCAGAGGGGAAUAUUGCACAGUAGGCGCAAGCCUGAUGCAGCCAUGCCGAGUGUGUGAAGAAGGCCUUGGGGUUGUAAAGCACUUUCAGCGGGGAGGAGUUACCAGCAGAAGAAGCACCGGCUAACUCCGUGCCAGCAGACGCGGUAAUAC